AUCAGGAAGAGGAAGAAAAUGAGCAUCUAAGAGCAUUGAGCUUGGGAACAUGGAGGAAGGCCUAAACUAGUGUGUCCCUGUCCAACUAGGGUCCAACAUCUCUUUUGGAAUUUUCCCAAUGCCUCCAUGCCUAUUGUUAUUAUGUGUUCCUUCCUCUCCCUUAUUACC
rnacentral:pre_miRNA from 1 species